rnacentral:rRNA from 1 species
AUUGAACGCUGGCGGAAUGCUUUACACAUGCAAGUCGAACGGCAGCACGGACUUCGGUCUGGUGGCGAGUGGCGAACGGGUGAGUAAUGUAUCGGAACGUGCCCAGUCGUGGGGGAUAACGUAGUGAAAAUUACGCUAAUACCGCAUACGAUCUAUGGAUGAAAGCGGGGAUCGCAAGACCCCUCGCGAUUGGAGCGGCCGAUAUCAGAUUAGGUAGUUGGUGGGGUAAAGGCCAACCAAGCCGACGAUCUGUAGCUGGUCUGAGAGGACGACCAGCCACGCUGGAACUGAGACACGGUCCGGACUCCUACGGGAGGCAGCAGUGGGGAAUUUUGGACAAUGGGCGAAAGCCUGAUCCGGCCAUUCCGCGUGCAGGAUGAAGGCCCUCGGGUUGUAAACUGCUUUUGUACAGAACGAAAAGGUUUCUACUAAUACUAGGAGCUCAUGACGGUACUGUAAGAAUAAGCACCGGCUAACUACGUGCCAGCAGCCGCCGUAA